UCUUCCUCGCAGCGCCGGCGCGGCGGCGCUCCAUCUUCCGCUCCCUCCCUUACUUGUGCUUGGCACGCAGGCGACGGCGGCGGCGCCCAGUCUCGUACUCUCAGCGGCGGCGUCAGUGGCUUCCCCUCCCGCCUCUCGCCAGUCGCCUCGCGCCCUCGCCUCCGGUCCUGCGCACGCCGACCUGUUACCCUGCCAGGACAUUGUUGAAUUCUCUGAAGUGUGUGCUCUUGUAAAGGCUUGCUAAAAUGGUAAAUUUAAACAUAACCAACAUCUUGGAGAAGAUGACAGGGAAAGAUAAAGACUACAGAUAUAUGGCAACAUCAGAUCUGCUUAGUGAAUUGAAUAAA